GCCAGCACCUAUAUCACUCUGCAGAUCUCAACUGGCUCUCACUGAAGCUUAGCAAGGUUGAGCCUGGGCAGUACCUGGAUGGGAGACCUCCUGGGAAGCUAUGGUUGCUGCUAGAA
rnacentral:rRNA from 1 species